GACACAGAGAAAGAGAGGAGGAGGACCAAUGCCGACCACCACCGACCCACCCAUCGGAGCGACGACCACCACCACUAACAGUAGCGCGCACCACCGCCUCCAGCGAUCACCGGCGCACCCCUUCCCUUUCGCCCAGUUUUUUGCCCCCACACAGCACAGACGAACAGAGGCAGCGAAAGACGAACAGGUUUGGAGACCGAAAAAGGGAGAGGGUUUCGUUGCGGAGGCGAUCGAGAUGGAGGUUCCAACGCCGCCGAUUUAGGAGGUCCUGAAUCGGCCCACAGCCGCCUUGCCCCAGUCCGAGUUCUUGACCCGACAAGAGGUCCUAAAGCGCGCGCAAGCAACUGGCCAAGGUGUACGGAGACCAUUACCGGUCCAUGAUGGAGAAUGUCAAGAUGAAGUUCAGGGAGUACUGCUGGGAGUACGGCUUCCAGGAGAAGUCUCUAUUUUACAUGCUCAUAUCGGCUCGACGGUGAAGAACAGAGGUUUUCCUUCUUUUCGUUUCUGCGUGCUUCUUUUCAUCGAUUAUUAUUUCCUUUUCCCUUGUAAGUUUGGUUCUGGAGUUGGGGUUUUUUUUUUCAAAAAUAUUUUGAUUGUCAUGGAGAGAAAAUAAAGGAAAUUGGGCCUAGAUUACUGAGGAAUGGUUUUAAUUUCUUCAAAAUUUUGAAUCUCUAAUUGGGUUUAAUUUAGGCUCCUAAAUUGGCAUAUUUUCCUUCUUUUCUUGAUGUUUUUGGUUCAAGGAUGUUUUAUUUUUUAUUAGGACCGGUAAAAGAAUACAAAUAAAUAACGAAUUAUAUAAAUCAACUUAAGCCCACAAAUACUAAACCUAACUGAUAGCCCAUUAGGGGACCAAACAACUGAACAAAUAACCGCCGAGGAAAAAAAACCCUUAUAAAUGACCCCAUUCAGGUGGUAAUUUUUUAAGUCUUUGCUCUUGGCAAGGAUUGACUCCUAUGGGAGGACUAUAAGGGUGGCUCGCUUAGCUUCCAGUUGGUUUGUUCAGGGGUGUUUUUAAUAAACCUUUGAUGAGUGAUUCGUUUACUGAACCACAUACACGUAGUUUUUGUAUGGUUGUUGGGAUAAGUAUAAAUUAGAUCCCAUUUUAUGAAGGUUACGGUUUUGUGUUCAUGAGUGUGACAUGCAUAACAAGUUUAGAUUUUUCCCUUAUGAGUUGGCUUUAUUUACAAGAUUCCAAAUUAGUUUACACUUUUUUAAAAAAAAUUUGGAAGCGAUAAGAAAGACUGCAGGUUGAAUUAAAUUUUAUGGAGGUUAUGGAUUCGUGUUCAUGAGUGUGAGGUGCAUAAACUGACAGAUCAAAUUAGUUACAAUUUCAGGACAUUGGUUUUGGUAGUUGUUGUGAUGUUAUUAGGAUAUUGGGUAGCUGUGAAAUCUGGAGAUAGUUUAAAUGUAUUUUGUUUUCUGUUUUCAAGGUUCACUUUUAUGUUGUUUCGGCAAUUGGAACUUUGAAGGAGCAACCAAUACAGUGUAGGACUAGGAUGUUGAAUCAAUACUGUAAGAAUUUGCAUGUCAUCAACGAUAGUUUGGAGGAUGGGUGAGGUGAAUUUUAUGAUGAAAUAACACCGCUUAUGGAUCCUAUUAUGGAUUGCCUAGGCUGAGGAGGGAAAGAUUUUAACUUUGUUGCGCUUAUGGAUUGGGAGGGAAAGAUUUAUCCUGUAAAGGAAGUUAGGCCUCCACAAAUCCCUGAGGAUCCUAAUCCUGUUAUUAAGAGUGAAAAAUUCCAAGCGCCAACUCAUAUUAUUUCUACAAUUUUCGAUGUCAAAGGUGAAGAGUCAUGAUACGCUGGUAUCCCUAUGCCUUCCAUUGUUGAACAGGAGUAUGGGGUGGGUGAUGUUAUUUUCCUGUUGUGGUUCAAACGCAGUCUCCCCCAUUACUGCACAGAGUUUAUUGAGGUCUGAUUUUUCUCCUAAUAACAUGUGCUAUAAAAAAAUUCCUUCCAAUUGCUUUUUUACUUUUUGAAUUAGGUCGUGGGCUUGUAAAAGAGAUUUUGUAGACUACUAUUUCUCAGUCUCACAUGUGACCUUGCCAGAUUUGCAUAAUGUUAUGUGCCAACCAUGGUCCCUGUGUGUUUGGUGCUCAUAACACCAUAGUAACUACAAGGACAGGAAAAGAUUUUCUGUGUAGAGGGCCGACCUAAGAGUUUUUAGUACCCAAAGCCUAAUAAAAAAAACUAUGCCCUUUAGAGUUAAUACCUGACCAUUUUUACUACAACAAUCACAAUACGAGAAGACCUAACCAAUAUAAAGUUAUAGUAAUUAUUACAUACGAAUACAAAAUACAAAGUUUCCAAAUAGGCAAAUACAUAUUAUCUCAAGAACGCAUGAGUAUCACUAAAAUUGUUAAAAAGAGUCCUACUCAAACCCAAGUAGUAAAAAUAUUGGAGUGCCCUUAAAAUUUGGGAUUUUUUUGGAUGCCUAAGGCGCAGACCUUUUGGACCUUGUGCCAGGCCCGGCUCUGUGUCCAGCCUUGUUGUAGGUAUGUAAUGAAGAUAUGUUAGCCAAAAAAGUUUUUCCUGGGGGCUGUUUUCAAAACAGGCACAGCUGAAAUGCCUUUUCGAAACAAGUUUGCUAGCAAUUGGUCCCCAAUUUGGUGGGGCUAUUGAUGAUGAUGCCCGAUCCUUUAACGAAGCUUAUGACAAGGUUAGUUCUUAUGAGAAUUUUACCACGCACAAGAGAAGAAUGCACACGCCGUUUGAUUUGCUAAUGGUUUCUGAAUCUAUCAGCUUUAACAAAACCCUACAACAUAAAAAAUUGUCAAAGUUUGUGCUACCUAGCUAGCAUCACACCAGGUAGAGACAUUUUUUUGGUUAGAAUAGCUGGAAGCCUGGAACUAAUGAAACCGGCAAAUUUUAACCGUAAUAUUCCAGAAAGUGAUAUAGUAUGUUUGUUUAGAUCAUCAAGAAAUCAGCAGCCUGUGAGUUCUCCGUCACUUGGGUAAUCAAUCCCAUAUAGUUGCCAAAAAGGCAAAAACUCAACCUUCAGGUCUGUGGUUCUUCAACACCAGAGAUAUUUUCCCAUAGCUUGAUAAUUAUCAUUUAUCUUCACUCAUAUCAAAUUGAUGUAACUUAGAUCUCAAAAUAUGCAUUGUGAACAUGUCAUAAGUGCAACAUUAUUGUAGGGUACUUUGUGAUUGAUGGAUUUGCUUUGAUUUUGUCUACAUUAGAUUUAUUUUUAUUCGUCAAAGUAGCCUUUUACAGAGGCAUUGUUGCUUGAUUGAUAUAUUCAUUGUUCU